UACGAAGGGGGCUAGCGCUGUUCGGAAUUACUGGGCGUAAAGCGUGCGCAGGCGGCUUCUCAAGUCAGGGGUGAAAGCCCAGAGCUUAACUCUGGAAUUGCCUUUGAGACUGAGAGGCUUGAGUACGGGAGAGGUGAGUGGAAUUCCCAGUGUAGAGGUGAAAUUCGUAGAUAUUGGGAAGAACACCGGUGGCGAAGGCGGCUCACUGGCCCGUAACUGACGCUCAUGCACGACAGCGUGGGGAUCAAACAGG
rnacentral:rRNA from 1 species